AUAAUCAAUCUGAAGCUCCUGUUUAACCUAACAGAAUAAAGUAAACCCUCUGGAGAGCUGAGAGCUGUUUUGUUUCUUAAAGCAUCCUCAAGUCACAAGCAUCCUUUACCUUCAUUUGAUUGAGUUGUCUGACUUAUAACUGAACUUAUGAGGCAACAUACCUCUAGAGAGCGGCCCAGACCUUUAUAUAUUUUUCUGUAUGUGGCCCUCGGUGAAAAAGGUUUGGACCCCCCUGUUCUAGACCAAUGACUGGUUACUUCCUGUCAUGCAGCUGAGAGCUGUGGCAGGCAGUCGUAGUGUUUGCAGAGAAGAUAUGAUGGGAUGUAAAGCCUGAGAUCAGGACUCUGAAGCUGACUCAAAGAACUAACACUUAUUUUAAACUGGAUCUUAAACUGUUGGAUUGUGUUCAUCUCUACAGGAUCGGAUAUAAUGAUGAGACGUUCAGAGCCACGAUCCAGAAGACCUGUGACAGGAAGUGAAGACACACAGAAAGUUUAUUCAUCACGGGGCGAGUUUGAGACGUAAAGAGGAGCCUGGAGGCAUUUUGGAAAAUAAAGAAGAAGGCUGCAGCUGAUGAGAGACUUCCUGUUAGCUCUCCUCAAUAUGAAAUGAACAAAAACAAUCAAUUGUACUUAAAGCUUUUCUUAAGAAGAAAGAUGUGUUGCACAUACAAAUGUCCGGACAGAAUUUAUUUUACCGGACAAAUUUGAAACUUAGCGGUCAUGUUUCAAUAAUAAUAAUAUGAAUUGUGUAGCAGAGUUUCCGUUAGCAGGUAAUUACCGGACUAUGAGCGGAUAUGCUGAUGUUUAAACUCAGUUAAUGGGAGU